ACGGAAGGCAGCAGUGAGGAAUAUUGGUCAAUGGGCGAGAGCCUGAACCAGCCAAGUCGCGUGAAGGAUGAAGGUUCUAUGGAUUGUAAACUUCUUUUGUUCGAGGGUAAAGUGAGUCACGUGUGGCUUAUUGCAAGUAUCGAACGAAUAAGCAUCGGCUAACUCCGUGCCAGCAGCCGCGGUAAUACGGAGGAUGCGAGCGUUAUCCGGAUUAUUGGGUUUAAAGGGUGCGUAGGCGGGAUGUUAAGUCAGCGUUUAAAUAGUGUAGCUCAACUAUACUUCGCCGUUGAAACUGGCGUUCUUGAGUGUAAAUGAGGUAGGCGGAAUGUGACGUGUAGCGGUGAAAUGCUUAGAUAUGUCACAGAACCCCGAUUGCGAAGGCAGCUUACCAAGAUACAACUGACGCUGAGGCACGAGAGCGUGGGUAUCAAACAGGAUUAGAUACCCUGGUA
rnacentral:rRNA from 1 species